rnacentral:lncRNA from 1 species
UUGCUGUCAUAAGCAGGUAAUGUCAGUAUUGUAUGUUACACAUAUGUUUAAAUGAAAGAUGGUACCAAGGGGUCAAUAAAAAUUGGUUAAAAAAUCAAGACAGACAACAUCAACUUGAAGAGAAAAUAAUCAAGCAACGUUCCAGAAAUAUCACAAAAUCACGGUAUCAAAAGCACUGAUAUUCAUUGAUAUUUUUUCGAUGAAUUAUUACGUGACUGGUACUAAUUUUUCUGUACCAGAUGCGCAUUUGGACAAUACAUAGAUAAAAGAAGAUGUGAUAUGAGUGCCAAUGACAACUCUGCAUCCAGGUCACAAUGUAUAAAAGUAAACCACUUUAGGUCAAAGUGCGGUCUUCAACACGAAGCCUUUGGCUCACAUCGAACAACAAGCUAUUAAAGGGCCCCAAAAAUGACAAGUGUAAAACUAUUCAAACGGGAAAACCAAUAGUCUAAUCAAUAUAAAAAAAACGAGAAACGAGAAACAUUUAUGAACCACAUCAACAAACGACAACUACUGAACAUUAGACUCCUGACAUAGGACAGGUGCAAACAAUUGUAGCAGCGGGUUCAAACGUUUUAAUAUUUACCAACAUUCACCCUUAUCUGAAACAAUAGUGUUACAUCACAACAUAGAAAGACACAUUAAUAAAUAUAAAUUGAAAUGGCUCAAACCAUCAAAAGACAUAUUAACACAAGUAAACAUACACUGAACGGACACAUUUUAUCUAUGAUACAAUAUAAAUACAAAAUCAAUAAAAUAAGGGGUGAAUAACUAAAG